GAUGAACGCUGGCGGCGUGCUUAACACAUGCAAGUCGAACGAAGCAUUUGCGACAGAUUUUUUCGGAAUGAAGUUGCUUAUGACUGAGUGGCGGACGGGUGAGUAACGCGUGGGUAACCUGCCUUGUACUGGGGGAUAGCAGCUGGAAACGGCUGGUAAUACCGCAUAAGCGCACAAUGUUGCAUGACAUGGUGUGAAAAACUCCGGUGGUAUAAGAUGGACCCGCGUCUGAUUAGCUAGUUGGUGAGAUAACAGCCCACCAAGGCGACGAUCAGUAGCCGACCUGAGAGGGUGACCAGCCACAUUGGGACUGAGACACGGCCCAGACUCCUACGGGAGGCAGCAGUGGGGAAUAUUGCACAAUGGAGGAAACUCUGAUGCAGCGACGCCGCGUGAGUGAAGAAGUAAUUCGUUAUGUAAAGCUCUAUCAGCAGGGAAGAUAGUGACGGUACCUGACUAAGAAGCUCCGGCUAAAUACGUG
rnacentral:rRNA from 1 species